rnacentral:rRNA from 1 species
ACGGGGCGCAGCAGGCGCGAAACCUUUACACUGCACGCCAGUGCGAUAAGGGGACCCCGAGUGCGAGGGCAUACAGUCCUCGCUUUUCGUGACCGUAAGAAGGUCUCAGAAUAAGAGCUGGGCAAGACCGGUGCCAGCCGCUGCGGUAAUACCGGCAGCUCAAGUGAUGACCGAUAUUAUUGGGCCUAAAGCGUCCGUAGCCGGCCGAACAGGUCCGUCGGGAAAUCCACCCGCUCAACGGGUGGACGUCCGGCGGGAACCAGUCGGCUUGGGGCCGGGAGACCAGAGAGGUACGUCCGGGGUAGGAGUGAAAUCCUGUAAUCCUGGACGGACCACCGGUAGCGAAAGCGUCUCUGGAGAACGGACCCGACGGUGAGGGACGAAAGCUUGGGUCUCGAACCGGAUUAGAUACCCGGGUAGUCCAAGCUGUAAACGAUGCUCGCUAGGUGUGGCGUUGGCUACGAGCCAGCGCCGUGCCGUAGGGAAGCCGAGAAGCGAGCCGCCUGGGAAGUACGUCCGCAAGGAUGAAACUUAAAGGAAUUGGCGGG